GGGAGGCAGCAGUGGGGAAUAUUGCACAAUGGGCGCAAGCCUGAUGCAGCCAUGCCGCGUGUAUGAAGAAGGCCUUCGGGUUGUAAAGUACUUUCAGCAGUGAGGAAGGUGGAUAUGUUAAUAGCAUAUUCAUUUGACGUUAGCUGCAGAAGAAGCACCGGCUAACUCCGUGCCAGCAGCCGCGGUAAUACGGAGGGUGCGAGCGUUAAUCGGAAUUACUGGGCGUAAAGCGCAUGCAGGUGGUUUGUUAAGUCAGAUGUGAAAGCCCGGGGCUCAACCUCGGAAUUGCAUUUGAAACUGGCAAACUAGAGUACUGUAGAGGGGGUAGAAUUUCAGGUGUAGCGGUGAAAUGCGUAGAGAUCUGAAGGAAUACCGGUGGCGAAGGCGGCCCCCUGGACAGAUACUGACACUCAGAUGCGAAAGCGUGGGGAGCAAACAGGAUUAGAUACCCUGGUAG
rnacentral:rRNA from 1 species